AUUCUAUAUUAAUAUGAAGUGGUUCUAUAUUAAUAUGAAGUGGUAAUAGUGGAGAAGGGUAUUUAGCUAGCUUUAGUUUAUGAUUUAGGGAGAGCCAAAGAGAAAUGGUAGAAUUUAGUAGGAUGUGAGGAUUUGGGUCUUCUUAGCACAGAUUAGGGAAUGGAAUGUUUCAUUCACCCACAGAUUCCUAAGUGUUCUUCCCAGCAGAGGAGAGUUUUCACUCUUGCUGGGUGAGUGGAGGUUCUGGUUCUUGAGAUAGGGGUGCGAGACAAGAGAUAAAUUGUUUUUUAAUGAGUGUGACAAUGAAAAGCAUUAACAAAGAUAUAUCUUUGUUUAUUGGGUUGGACCCUGGUCUGAAUAAAGUCUAGCCAUGGAGGUACUUCAGUCUUGGCAGAGUUGUAGGAACAAAAAGUUGUGGGUUUUACAUCCUAAAGGCGUAAGAAUAAGCUGCAUCCUCCAUACUAGGUUGUGCCCUGGUGUGGGAAAAGUCCAACAGCAGCGGUGCUUCAGCCUUAGUUGGACCCUGGUCUGAAUAAAGCCUAGCCAUGGAGGUACCUCAGUCUUGGCAGGUAAGUAGACAAGAUGGUGCUAGUGGUGGGGUAAUUGGUUAGGAUUUAUUUGAGCAUUCUUCUGCCUGAGCAUCCCUGGUGAGAAAAGUCAGCAGUAGGUGGCUUUGGAAGAUUGAGCCUUGGUUUGGGGAAAGUCCUUCUGCAGAAGACGCCAUGAGUAGCAAUGCUCACAGCAGCAGAAUUUAUAUUUACAGGUUAUGACUAUCUGCUCACAGAGGCACUUACGCCUUAGAGGUGAGUAGGGGGGCAGAUACUUGUGUGGCACAGGGCAUUGUUGAUGCUGGAUGUCUGUUUUAUAUAUUGGGCCUUGGUUUAGUAAUUGUCCCGUGGCCACUGUGGUUCUUCACUUUUGGUAGGAGAGUGGAGCAAUAGUACUUGCUUGUGGGGUUCACGUGGUGUUGUUUUUAUUAGCACCUUUAUUUUGAGUAAGUGAGGCCUUUUUUUAGUCUGGCCAUGGUGGCUUUUUAGCCAUUUUAGGUGAGUGGGGAUGCUGAAGCUUUUGGUAGCUGGUCAUAUGGGUAAUCCAGUGGUUUAGGUGUACAAAGGUACGAUCUCUUACCUAUGUAUCUUUCUUUUACAGGUUGGGAAAGUUCAGCCUUUGCUAUACAUGAAUGGGCUACUUUAGCCUAGGUUUCUCUGUAACAGGUUGUACAGCGAAUUGCAGAGGUGUCUCUUAUACAAGUCUGUUGGGGAUAAGUGUGUCAGAGAAGAAAUCAGAUCAUUAGUGGGUUGGUUUGGGAGAAGUCCAGGCUGCAGAUCUGCUUCAACAUUGGCAGAAAGCUGAGGAUGCUGGUUCUUGUGGUUGGACCCUGGUCUGAAUAAAGUCAAGCGGAGGAGGUACUUCAGCCUUGGCAGAGUUGUAGGAACAAAAAGUUGUGGGUUUUACAUCCUAAAGGCGUAAGAAUAAGCUGCAUCCUCCAUACCAGGUUGUGCCCUGGUGUGGGAAAAGUCCAACAGCAGCGGUGCUUCAGCCUUAGUACGUGAGUUUGUGGUAAAGGUUUUGGGUGGAAUGAUCAUUUUUUUAACAUGUGUGAGAAUAUAUACCCUCAGGGUGUUUUGUAGAUUGGACCCUGGCUUUGGAGUUCCCAGCAGAGGAGAGUUUUCUUGCUGAGUUGGACCCUGGUCUGAAUAAAGUCUAGCCAUGGAGGUACUUCAGUCUUGGCAGGAUGGGGAGCUGCUUUUGAAAACCCUCUGUGGAGGCACUUCAGCCUUGGCCGGUUGGACCCUGGUCUGAAUAAAGCCUAGCCAUGGAGGUACUUCAGUCUUGGCAGAUGGGGAGCUGCUUUUGAAAACCCUCUGUGGAGGCACUUCAGCCUUGGCCGGUGAGUGGGAAUUACCAAUCUCGGUGUUGUAGGAUGGGCUUUGCUUUGGUAGAUAUUUAUUCCCAGAAGCAUUUUAUUCUUCAUGGGUAAGUAGGCAUGCCGGUGCUGGAGGUAGGAUGUGGAGAUAUUGGUUUUGGUGUUAAGAUUGAGUCUCUUUUUUUAGGCUAGGCCCUGAUAAGGUCAACUGACCUUUCUAGGUGAAUGUGGAUGUGUGAGAAAAACCCUCUCUGAAAGGGACUAGAGAAUGUGUAAUGAAUAACACUAUAAGUGUUGGUGAGAGACCUAAACAGCUGUGACAAAUAAACAUGUUUUGCUUCUUCAACUCCCUGCACCCCAACUAUUUAUUGUGUGAAUGAAAACUUGUACUGUGGAGCUUCAGGUCUUUUACCAAUUGCACCCGUCACAGACACAGAAGGGUUUUAUAGGUUUGACUUUGUUUUGGAAAAUGCCAUGGAGACACCUCAGCUGAGGCUGGUGAGUAGGUCUACAGGUCUCUUAUACAAGUCUGUUGGGGAUAAGUGUGUCAGAGAAGAAAUCAGAUCAUUAGUGGGUGAGUGGGGAUGCACAUGGUAUAGAAUGAUAGCUUUUGGGGGGAGAAUUCACUGCUUAAUUGUUUUUGUUUUACAGGUUGAACCGUAAUUUGGAACUUGUCUUACCAAGGAGCUAUUUGCUGUUGGUAAUUGCUAGUUCUUGUGGUAGAGGUGAAGGUUACAAGAUCAAUUAUGUUAGUACUACCUAUGGCUGAAGUGGCAGUGCAGCCCUUUCAGGUUGGUUUGGGAGAAGUCCGGGCUAUGGAGGUGUAUUAUGCUUGGUAAAUGACUGGGGUUGCAGGUGCUUGUGGUAGGUGUGCAGGGGAGGAAUAUACCCUUCAGCUUGCAUGCCUAUUUGUUUUUAUAGUUUCCACCACAGUGUCAUAAAAAUCCAUCCAUGCUUUGUUUUACAGGUUUUACCAGGAGAAGUCUGGCUUUGGAGGCACUUUAUCCUUCUCAGGUCAGGUCCUGGUACUGAUAGUCCAGCCAAGGAGGCUCUACAGCUUUGGCAAAUAAGUAACUGAUUACUGAGUAGGGGAGCUGGAGUCUCGUUUUUAACAGAAUGGGCCCACAAAUGAGAAAAGUCAGCAGUAGGUGGCUUUGGAAGAUUGAGCCUUGGUUUGGGGAAAGUCCUUCUGCAGAAGACGCCAUGAGUAGCAAUGCUCACAGCAGCAGAAUUUAUAUUUACAGGUUGUGACUAUCUGCUCACAGAGGCACUUACGCCUUAGAGGUGAGUAGGGGUGCAGAUACUUGUGUGGCACAGGGCAUUGUUGAUGCUGGAUGUCUGUUUUAUAUAUUGGGCCUUGGUUUAGUAAUUGUCCCGUGGCCACUGUGGUUCUUCACUUUUGGUAGGAGAGUGGAGCAAUAGUACUUGCUUGUGGGGUUCACGUGAUGUUGUUUUUAUUAGCACCUUUAUUUUGAGUAAGUGAGGCCUUUUUUUAGUCUGGCCAUGGUGGCUUUUUAGCCAUUUUAGGUGAGUGGGGAUGCUGAAGCUUUUGGUAGCUGGUCAUAUGGGUAAUCCAGUGGUUUAGGUGUACAAAGGUACGAUCUCUUACCUAUGUAUCUUUCUUUUACAGGUUGGGAAAGUUCAGCCUUUGCUAUACAUGAAUGGGCUACUUUAGCCUAGGUUUGUCUAUAACAGGUUGUACAGCGAAUUGCAGAGGUGUCUCUUAUACAAGUCUGUUGGGGAUAAGUGUGUCAGAGAAGAAAUCAGAUCAUUAGUGGGUGAGUGGGGAUGCACAUGGUAUAGAGUGAUAGCUUUUUGGGGGGAGAGCCCUUUCAGGUGAGUGGGGGUUUCUGGUACUCCCGGUAGGAGCCUUAGUUAGGGGGUUUGAUUUCUUUUGAGAUGCAUAGGGAUGUGCUUCAGCCUAGGCUUCUUUAUUUUACAGGUUGGUUUGGGAGAAGUCCAGGCUGCAGAUCUGCUUCAACAUUGGCAGAAAGCUGAGGAUGCUGGUUCUUGUGGGUCCUGGAAUGGCCGCAUCUGUCUCUUCACCUUGCAUG